rnacentral:tRNA from 1 species
GGGGGUAUAGCUCAGUGGUAGAGCUCUGGGUUCGAUCCCCAGUGCCUCCG